AACGAACGCUGGCGGCAGGCCUAACACAUGCAAGUCGAGCGAGGACUUCGGUUCUAGCGGCGGACGGGUGAGUAACGCGUGGGAAUGUGCCCUUCUCUACGGAAUAGCCCUGGGAAACUGGGAGUAAUACCGUAUACGCCCUAUUGGGGAAAGAUUUAUCGGAGAAGGAUCAGCCCGCGUUGGAUUAGGUAGUUGGUGGGGUAAUGGCCUACCAAGCCGACGAUCCAUAGCUGGUUUGAGAGGAUGAUCAGCCACACUGGGACGGAGACACGGCCCAGACUCCUACGGGAGGCAGCAGUGGGGAAUCUUAGACAAUGGGGGCAACCCUGAUCUAGCCAUGCCGCGUGAGUGAUGAAGGCCUUAGGGUUGUAAAGCUCUUUCAGCUGGGAAGAUAAUGACGGUACCAGCAGAAGAAGCCCCGGCUAACUCCAUG
rnacentral:rRNA from 1 species